CCUACGGGUGGCAGCAGUGGGGAAUAUUGGACAAUGGGCGAAAGCCUGAUCCAGCCAUGCCGCGUGUGUGAAGAAGGCCUUCGGGUUGUAAAGCACUUUCAGUGGGGAAGAAAGCCUUGGGGCUAAUACCCUCGAGGAAGGACAUCACCCACAGAAGAAGCACCGGCUAACUCCGUGCCGGCAGCCGCGGUAAUACGGAGGGUGCGAGCGUUAAUCGGAAUUACUGGGCGUAAAGCGCGCGUAGGCGGUCUGAUAAGCCGGUUGUGAAAGCCCCGGGCUCAACCUGGGAACGGCAUCCGGAACUGUCAGGCUAGAGUGCAGGAGAGGAAGGUAGAAUUCCCGGUGUAGCGGUGAAAUGCGUAGAGAUCGGGAGGAACACCAGUGGCGAAGGCGGCCUUCUGGACUGACACUGACGCUGAGGUGCGAAAGCGUGGGUAGCAAACAGGAUUAGAUACCCGUGUAGUC
rnacentral:rRNA from 1 species